rnacentral:lncRNA from 1 species
CAGGAGAGGAGCAAAGUCAAACACAGCUCUUGGCUACACAGCUCAGAUCAAAAAGCUGACCCGUUUGGUUACAUGCACACAGCCAGGCAUGGCAGCAACGGAUGGCUGCAUUUUCCCUUGCCUUGUCUUGGAAUGAAGGCCAGGCAACAUUUAAAGGGCUAAAGGAGAAUCAAGAGACCCUUGAUUUCCUUUUUCUUCUUGUUCUAGGGACAUGAAGUGCUAAUUGUUCAGACAUGCAACGCACACACACAGAGGCAUCAUGGUGAUAUGAUUGCAAAGCCCGGUAACGUCAGCAUCCCAGAGACCCUCCUCCGACUCGGAUUAGAGAGAAGAGGCUCACCAGCACAAGCAGCAGGUACUGGAGGAGGCAGCGGAGCCACUCACCAGGGGACCCUGGGAGUGGGGGAAUAGCAAUGUCAGAAACUUCUUCAUUGUUUGUGAAAUCUCAGUCAAUGAAGAGCCUGAACUCCGACACCAAGGCAGGCACUAAUUAACAACUGCAACACUUCUGCUCCUGCACGGAAAGCAAGUGCUGUGCCAGUGGAACAGCGGCCGUCCCUCAAGUCCUCCAAAGGCUGUGAACAGCCAGACAGGAACAAAGCUCCCCCUCUGCCUCCCUGUUCCUGCCAGCCCCAGAA